rnacentral:rRNA from 1 species
GACGAACGCUGGCGGCGUUCUUAACACAUGCAAGUCGAGCGGUAAGGCCCUUUCGGGGGUACACGAGCGGCGAACGGGUGAGUAACACGUGGGUGACCUGCCCUCAGCUCUGGGAUAAGCCUGGGAAACCGGGUCUAAUACUGGAUAUGACUCCAUGACGCAUGUUGCGGGGUGGAAAGCCUUGUGCGGCUGAGGAUGGGCCCGCGGCCUAUCAGCUUGUUGGUGGGGUGAUGGCCUACCAAGGCGACGACGGGUAGCCGGCCUGAGAGGGCGACCGGCCACACUGGGACUGAGACACGGCCCAGACUCCUACGGGAGGCAGCAGUGGGGAAUCUUGCGCAAUGGGCGAAAGCCUGACGCAGCGACGCCGCGUGAGGGAUGACGGCCUGGUGUAACCUACUUCUA